rnacentral:lncRNA from 1 species
UAUUUUUGGUACUUGCUUUUGGCAAUUUUUGACAAAAAAGGGGAGAGAGAGAAGAGAUUUUGAGAUUUUAAAAUUUUUUCAUGUGAAUUUUUAUUGAUCAUAUUAGAUGCAUGAAUAGAGGGGGAGAGAUUUUUAUUAACAAAGGAUGCAUGAACAGAGGGGGAGAGGAUUUCAUUAACAAAGGGGGAGAGAUGUUCAUUUUUUUUAACUAAUUUUGUUCGAGGAGAAAGUAUUCUUUCUACAGAUUCUCGAAGACUUCAAGACUCCUUGUGUUUAAGUCAUAGAGUUUGUUUAGGAGUUGCAAAAUUGUAAUAUUGUAUUUUCUUUGGAUUUUUCACACGAGAAGUUCAUUGUUUUGGUGAUGGCAAUGAAUUUCAUUUUUUUUGGAGAGUUGAGCAUUGUGAGUAUUUUGAUGUAUUUUCGGGUUUUGUCACGAAAUUGCCAAAGGAGAAGAUUGUUACGGAUUUUAUGUUGGCAUAUUUCGUGAAGUUAGUCGGAGUCUUGAAUGUUUGAAGAAGAAGAGAUGAAGAUCGAAGACUCGAAGACUCAAAACAUGAAUGCAUAAUGCUCGGUAAGUUUAAAUACCAUUGAUGAUGAUUUAUAAAUAUUUAAAAGUGUUUGGAAGACUUAGGAUGGUUUUUAAAAUAUGAAUCUGGAUAAACUGAGUUUUUCAAUGUGCUGGGACCGGUCCC